UGCGCAGGCGGAAGAAUAAGUCAGUGGUGAAAUACUGCCGCUCAACGGUAGGGCUGCCAUUGAUACUGUUUUUCUUGAGUAUGGUUGAGGUAGGCGGAAUGUGCGGUGUAACGGUGAAAUGCAUAGAUAUCGCCCAGAACGCCGAUUGCGAAGGCAGCUUACUAAACCAUUACUGACGCUGAGGCACGAAAGCGUGGGUAGCGAACAGGAUUAGAUACCCUGGUAGUCC
rnacentral:rRNA from 1 species